AAAAUGUGAUGGGAAACACAUUUAACUUGUAUGUUUUAUUCGGUACAUGGGAAUUUUAACUGUAUUUUUUUUAUUUGCACAGCUUUUUAUCCACAACAAGUCAAUUUGAUGGAAACAUCUCUGGUGAGAAAAUGUACAUUGUUUUAUGCAUUUUUUUUUUUCAUACAGAAAAAUAUACACUACCGUUUAAAAGUUUGGGGUCACUUAGAAAUGUCCAUGUUUUUGUCCAUUAAAAUAACAUCAAAUUGAUCAGAAAUACAGUGUAGACUUUGUUAAUGUUGUCGAUUGACUAUAGUAGCUGGAAACAGCUGUUUUUUAAUGGAAUAUCUACAGAGGUGUACAGAGAGGCCCAUUAUCAGCAACCAUCACUACUGUGUUCCAAUGACAGUUUGCAAAUGCAACUUAUUUCUACGUGAAAACUGAAAUGGUUUAUUCAUACUUUUCCAUUUUAGUAGACGCUCCUAUCCGGAGCAUCUUACAGUCGUGUCUACAUGUUUAUACUUCAUCUUGAACCCACAACCCUACCAUUGCAAACGCCAUACUCUUAUCAACUGAGACACAUAGAAAUUAUACAGGUACAACCCUAAACGACCAGCCUAUAUAAUAAUAAUAAUAAUAUAUGCCAUUUAGCAGACGCUUUUAUCCAAAGCGACUUACAGUCAUGUGUAUACAUUCUACGUAUGGGUGGUCCCGGGAAUUGAACCCACUACCCUGGCGUUACAAGCGUCAUGCUCUACCAACUGUGCUAAGUGUUGUUGAGCUGUUAUUAGUGUUGUUGAGCUGUGGUAGGUCAUUAGUGUUGUUGAGCUGUUAUUAGUGUUGUUGAGCUGUGGUAGGUCAUUAGUGUUGUUGAGCUGUGGUGGGUCAUUAGUGUUGUUGAGCUGUGGUAGGUCAUUAGUGUUGUUGAGCUGUUAUUAGUGUUGUUGAGCUGUGGUAGGUCAUUAGUGUUGUUGAGCUGUUAUUAGUGUUGUUGAGCUGUGGUGGGUCAUUAGUGUUGUUGAGCUGUGGUAGGUCAUUAGUGUUGUUGAGCUGUGGUAGGUCAUUAGUGUUGUUGAGCUGUGGUAGGUCAUUAGUGUUGUUGAGCUGUGGUAGGUCAUUAGUGUUGUUGAGCUGUUAUUAGUGUUGUUGAGCUGUGGUAGGUCAUUAGUGUUGUUGAGCUGUUAUUAGUGUUGUUGAGCUGUGGUAGGUCAUUAGUGUUGUUGAGCUGUGGUAGGUCAUUAGUGUUGUUGAGCUGUUAUUAGUGUUGUUGAGCUGUGGUAGGUCAUUAGUGUUGUUGAGCUGUGGUAGGUCAUUAGUGUUGUUGAGCUGUUAUUAGUGUUGUUGAGCUGUGGUAGGUCAUUAGUGUUGUUGAGCUGUUAUUAGUGUUGUUGAGCUGUGGUAGGUCAUUAGUGUUGUUGAGCUGUUAUUAGUGUUGUUGAGCUGUGGUAGGUCAUUAGUGUUGUUGAGCUGUUAUUAGUGUUGUUGAGCUGUGGUAGGUCAUUAGUGUUGUUGAGCUGUGGUAGGUCAUUAGUGUUGUUGAGCUGUGGUAGGUCUAUCUCCUGUAGUAAAUUUUUGCUGUUUUAUUGAACUAUCAUCUUUAGAGAUGUUUGUUCUCAGGACUCCAUUGUGAAUGAGACACUGGUCUCAACUGGGAUCCCGUGAAUAAAUAUAAAGUUCAGUAAAAAAUGAAUCUAUCAGUACUAUCUAUCAGUACUAUCCAUCUAUCGGUACUAUCUAUCAGUACUAUCAAUCUAUCAGUACAAUCAAUAUAUCAGUACUAUCAAUCUAUCAGUACUAUCUAUCAAUCUAUCGGUACUGUCUAUCUAUCAGUACUAUCUAUCAGUACUAUCAAUCCAUCUGUACUAUCUAUCAGUACUAUCAAUCUAUCAGUACUAUCAAUCUAUCAGUACUAUCAACCUAUCAGUACUAUCAACCUAUCAGUACUAUCAAUCUAUCAGUACUAUCUAUCAGUACUAUCAAUCUAUCAGUACUAUCAGGGGAAACUUCACUCUGGAGCGAGGUGCAAUAAUAGUCUCACAGCAUAAUCAGCAAAUCGUCGUCGUGGGAACAGAGGGGUGUGGAGGUGGCACGGGGGUCUGGGGUCAUGGUGAGGGUUGGGCGAGACAUCUUAGAGGGAGGAGGGGCCGAGGGGAGGGGCGCCACGGUGGCCCUGACUCUCCUGUUACCCCCCUGGAACUGACGACCCUGCUGCUGUAUAUACAAUACAGUACUGUACUUGUACAUUAAGUGGUUUGUAAUGAUGGUCAAUUAAUGAUGCACAAAAAGUGGAUGUUUUCCAGGUUAUUUGAUCAAGAAAAAUAUUUAAUUUGAUGUUAAUGUCUUUGCCUGUAACUUUGCACCUUUUCAUGUAAAUGUUUG